GGAGGGUAAGGCGAGGUGGGUCUGGGCUCCGGACGCCGUGGCUUGGGCACUGAACACCUUUGUGGGUCAGAACUGCCGACUCUGCACAGGGCUAGAAAAGAAAACCCAAGGCCUUGCAAUGUAAUCGACACGCUUGUCCCUAGUUAAUACCAUUAUAUUAAGCGAAUAAUGUAGAUGCAUAUGUACCAUAUGAUUUCACUCCAUGAUGAAUAUAAAAUAUCGAACUUCCGGCAAUUGGCAGCAGAAUAGAGGUAACUGAGUCUGGGAAGAUACAAGGAUGAGAAGAAGCACCCAGUUGGAUUAGAGAGGACGGAGUUUCUGGACAGCCGGGAAAUAAACAAGGUGCCUACUUACUACGAAUUGGCAUGCUAACGUAGUGUGCUAAAUCCAUGUAAAACCUGAGAGGACUCCAUAGCCGAACCUCCAGAAAGAGUCAGAGAUAUUUAAUUAAAACAGUUUUUAUGUGAUUAUUUCCAUUUCUGGGCAGCCGGGAAACAAACAAGGGGGCGUCCUUACUACAACAGAUGAUGAAUAAGGCAUUUUGUACAUUUUAAAAUAUCCAGAACAAAGAAGUUUGCAUGUAUUCACCAAAAAUAAGUGACAAAUGAUAGAAGAGUUUGAAUGUUUAAACUCAUUUAAACAUUACACAGUGUAAACCAGACAGAUUGGCUCAUGCAUGUAGUCCCAGAACUUUGGAGGGCUGA